GAUGAACGCUAACUACAGGCUUAACACAUGCAAGUCGAGGGGUAACGAGAGGGAAGCUUGCUUUCCUUGUCGACGACCGGCGCACGGGUGAGUAACGCGUAUCCAACCUGCCCCCAACUAGGGAAUAACCUUGCGAAAGUAAGACUAAUACCCUAUAAUUUCCUCAGAUGUCAUCUGACGAGGAAUAAAGAUUUAUCGGUUGUGGAUGGGAUGCGUCUGAUUAGCUUGUUGGCGGGGUAACGGCCCACCAAGGCAACGAUCAGUAGGGGUUCUGGGAGGAAAGUCCCCCACAUUGGAACUGGGACACGGUCCAAACUCCUACGGGAGGCAGCAGUGAGGAAUAUUGGUCAAUGGGCGGAAGCCUGAACCAGCCAAGUAGCGUGCAGGAUGACGGCCCUAUGGGUUGUAAACUGCUUUUAUACAGGAAUAAAGUUAGCCACGUGUGGUUAUUUGUAGGUACUGUAUGAAUAAGGACCGGCUAAUUCCGUGCCAGCAGCCGCCGUAA
rnacentral:rRNA from 1 species